AAAUAAGAAAGAAAAGAAAUAUCUAUGAGGUUAGAUGUGAUGUAGAGAUGGAUCAUUGUAAAUUAAAAUGAAGAAAGAAGUUAAAGUAGGAAAAAAGAAAGAAAUUCAAAGGUGAAGAAGAAGAAAUAAGAAAGAAAAGAAGAAUCUAUGAGGUUGGUUAAUUUGUUUCCAGUUUUAAUAGAUGAAUAAGGUUAGGAAAUAUAUUUUAGGUUAGAUGUGGUGCAGAAAUGGGUUGUUGUAAAUCAAAUAUAACAUUUAAUUAAUUUCAUCAACCCAAAAAGUAACUAGAACAAUUAGAACAUCAUCAAAUAAUUAAAAGAAAGAUGAAGGUUUUAAAAGGUAACCCAAUUUAGAAGAUAUAAUGUUCUGACUUAUAUACAUAUAAGUUUUCCAACUUAUUUCUUGAUAUUCUCUGCAAGGUUUAAAAUUUAUCAUACAGGAGUGGAAUUGUCCCAUUGUUGUUAUUGAAACGUCCUAAGAUUGAUUACCAAAUAGAUUACCUGAUACUUAAUUUAUUUGUAAGAAAAGUUUUGGUGUUAUAUUAUUCUUGAAUAAAACAAAUAUAUGUUUUUUUGUUCACACAGAGGGAACUAUUUAUUGAAUUCUGCAUCCCUUUUUAGUAUAACUCCAAAAAAUAUGAUUCCAUCUCUGUC